rnacentral:rRNA from 1 species
GAUGAACGCUGGCGGCGUGCCUAAUACAUGCAGGUCGAGCGAACAGACGAGGAGCUUGCUCCUUUGACGUUAGCGGCGGACGGGUGAGUAACACGUGGGUAACCUACCUAUAAGACUGGAUAACUUCGGGAAACCGGAGCUAAUACCGGAUAAUAUUUCGAACCGCAUGGUUCGAUAGUGAAAGAUGGCUUUGCUAUCACUUAUAGAUGGACCUGCGCCGUAUUAGCUAGUUGGUAAGGUAACGGCUUACCAAGGCAACGAUACGUAGCCGACCUGAGAGGGUGAUCGGCCACACUGGAACUGAGACACGGUCCAGACUCCUACGGGAGGCAGCAGUAGGGAAUCUUCCGCAAUGGGCGAAAGCCUGACGGAGCAACGCCGCGUGAGUGAUGAAGGUGUUCGGAUCGUAAAACUCUGUUAUUAGGGAAGAACAAACGUGUAAGUAACUGUGCACGUCUUGACGGUACCUAAUCAGAAAGCCACGGCUAACUACGUG